rnacentral:lncRNA from 1 species
CAGCUCCUGGGCAUAGAUGCAUCUUGUGCUGGCUGAGCCAUGUAACUCCAAGUACGGUUUAUUUUAAGAGAAAAUUGCCCACCUUUUAGAGUAAAUAAAGUUGAGAGCAGAACCCAGCAACUUCAUUUCCACUUCCUAGUGUAGCAACUGAAGAGUGAGCUUCUUUCAGCUUCAAUUGCUCUUCUCAGAAAGUUUUUAUUUGGCUUAAUAGAAGAAAGCACAGUUUCUAGACCAAAGAGGAAGAAAAUAAGACAAGGCAAGGCAAUAUGAAUAAAUGACCCAGGCUAAAUGCCAGUUCCUUGCAAAGAAUUUCAUUUAAGCUUCACUGAAUUG